rnacentral:rRNA from 1 species
GACAGAGGAUGCAAGCGUUAUCCGGAAUGAUUGGGCGUAAAGCGUCUGUAGGUGGCUUUUCAAGUCCGCCGUCAAAUCCCAGGGCUCAACCCUGGACAGGCGGUGGAAACUACCAAGCUGGAGUACGGUAGGGGCAGAGGGAAUUCCCGGUGUAGCGGUGAAAUGCGCAGAUAUCGGGAGGAACACCAAUGGCGAAGGCAGCCUCGCUGGGACGUUACUGACGCUGAGACGCGAAAGCGUGGGGAGCAAACAGG